UCCACUCAUCCUUCUUCCGACCCCGAGCCCACUCCCCGGCCCCCGCCCCCCGCCCCCGCCCCCGCCUUGAUUCAGAGAAGAAAUAGAGACUGCAGCCCGGCCGCCCCACAACUCACUCCAAGUGAGGGGUUGAAGCGCCCCAGGCCGCGGACUCCGCGAACCCACCCUCCCUCUCCUCGAGGGACACCUCACAGGUGCGCCUCCAAGCCGCGCGCGCGCGCUCCGCACACCCAGACGCCUCCGGGGGACAGCGCGCGUGCGCACGCACGAGGCCAGCGAGCCCCAGGGGAGCGGGGGCCGCACGCAUGCGCGCCGCCCGGCCCGCUCCCCUUCCCCCCUCCCCUGCCCCCGCCCCCGUCGGCCGCCCGCGCGUGCCCUCCCCCCAAUCCCAGGCUGGUCCCGGGUACCCCCCAACCCCCACCGCCCAGCGCGCGCGCGCUCCCGCUCGCCCGCCUCGCUCCUCCUCCCCCGCGCCCCACCCGGGCCCGCGUUACCCCGGGCAACCGCAGUGCGGCCGCACCUGAGCUUUGCGCCUGCGUCCCACUGGCCAGACCCUCCCUUCCCCUCGGUCCGUUCCCCAACCCCGCACAGCUGCGGGAGGGGGGCGUCGCCCCCUCCCCGGGAAGUGAGUAUCGAUCGGCCUCCCCCGCCCCUCCCCGCAGACACAAACCCGCCGCCGCGCCGGCGCCUCGGCCGCCCUCCCGGUCAGCGCGGACAGGCCUCGCCGCCCCGGCCCCCGCUCCCAGCGUGCACCGCGGCGAGCGCUCGGGUGGGAGCCGGCGAGAUGCGCUCGGCGGGCGGUGCCCACUGACCUCCCUCGGCGGCCGGGCCGGGGCAGGGCCGGAGCCGGGAGCCAGCCCCGCCCGCCGCCCCGCCCAUGGACCGCCGGCCCCCGCUGCCGCCCGCCCGGAGGACCGCGCCGAGUGGGGGAGCCGCCUGAAGGACCGCGACGGCCGCGCCCGCAGGAAAAGCAUCAUCAGAGCUCAGCAUGCGCGUUUCCUGAAUUUCUGAGUUUCUGCCACCACUGAAAAUUGAGAAAGCGCAAAGCCAGCCCAGUUCACGCUGGGAGAGCCACCUCUUGGGUUUGGUGCCCAUGUCAGCACCAGGAACCCACACAGUCGGCCCCUAACAGGAAUAACUGUCCAGGUGUAAAUAAGCUGCACCCAGUGAGAUCCCAUGUGUCACAGGCUCUGCAGAAUGUCCUGAACAAGUGCACACUUUCC
rnacentral:lncRNA from 1 species